GAUGAACGCUGGCGGCGUGCCUAAUACAUGCAAGUCGAGCGAACGGACGAGAAGCUUGCUUCUCUGAUGUUAGCGGCGGACGGGUGAGUAACACGUGGAUAACCUACCUAUAAGACUGGGAUAACUUCGGGAAACCGGAGCUAAUACCGGAUAAUAUUUUGAACCGCAUGGUUCAAAAGUGAAAGACGGUCUUGCUGUCACUUAUAGAUGGAUCCGCGCUGCAUUAGCUAGUUGGUAAGGUAACGGCUUACCAAGGCAACGAUGCAUAGCCGACCUGAGAGGGUGAUCGGCCACACUGGAACUGAGACACGGUCCAGACUCCGACGGGAGGCAGCAGUAGGGAAUCUGCCGCAGUGGGCGAAAGCCUGACGGAGCAACACCGCGUGAGUGAUGAAGGUCUUCGGAUCGUAAAACUCUGUUAUUAGGGAAGAACAUAUGUGUAAGUAACUGUGCACAUCUUGACGGUACCUAAACAGAAAGCCACGGCUAACUACGUG
rnacentral:rRNA from 1 species